rnacentral:lncRNA from 1 species
GCUCAAUUAUACUUCAACUCCAUACAAAAUCAAAGAUCAUUUGCUGAACUUUUCAUCAACUACCAAAAAAAUCAAAGAUCAAUUGCUCAACUUUCCCUCAACUACAAAAAAUUCAAAGUCAGAACGCUCAACUUUUGCUCAACUACAAGAAAACUAAAGAUUAAUUGCUCAACUUUUCCUCAACUACAAAAAAUUCAAAGUCCGAACGCUCAACUUUUGCUCAACUACAAAAUAAUCAAAGUCUGAAAGCUCAACUUAAUGGCCAGCUUCAGUUGAGGGCCAGUUGAGCGACAUAUAUCCA